GUGAGGAAUAUUGGUCAAUGGACGGAAGUCUGAACCAGCCAUGCCGCGUGCAGGAAUAAGGUCCUAUGGAUUGUAAACUGCUUUUAUUCGGGAAUAAACCUCUUUACGUGUAGGGAGCUGAAGGUACCGAAGGAAUAAGCACCGGCUAACUCCGUGCCAGCAGCCGCGGUAAUACGGAGGGUGCAAGCGUUAUCCGGAAUCAUUGGGUUUAAAGGGUCCGCAGGCGGGCUAUCAAGUCAGAGGUGAAAUCCCACAGCUUAACUGUGGAACUGCCUUUGAAACUGAUGGUCUUGAAUUAAGUGGGCGUUAGCGGAAUAUGACAUGUAGCGGUGAAAUGCAUAGAUAUGUCAUGGAACACCGAAAGCGAAGGCAGCUAACGAUACUUAUAUUGACGCUCAUGGACGAAAGCGUGGGUAGCGAACAGGAUUAGAUACCCUUGUAGUCC
rnacentral:rRNA from 1 species